GUAGGGAAUAUUGGGCAAUGGAUGCAAGUCUGACCCAGCCAUGCCGCGUGGAGGAAGAAGGUCCUCUGGAUUGUAAACUCCUUUUUGGGGGAAGAAUAGUUCUCUUGCGAGGGAAUGUGACGGUACCCUAAGAAUAAGCCACGGCUAACUACGUGCCAGCAGCCGCGGUAAUACGUAGGUGGCAAGCGUUGUCCGGAUUUAUUGGGUUUAAAGGGUGCGUAGGUGGUUUGAUAAGUCAGUGGUGAAAGCUGGUUGCUCAACAAUCAAGUUGCCAUUGAUACCGUCGGACUUGAGAGAAGUGGAGGUUCAUGGAAUGGAUGGUGUAGCGGUGAAAUGCAUAGAUAUCAUCCAGAACGUCGAUUGCGAAGGCAGUGGGCUGUACUUUAUCUGACACUGAGGCACGAAAGUGUGGGGAUCAAACAGGAUUAGAUACCCGGGUAGUCC
rnacentral:rRNA from 1 species